ACGAACGCUGGCGGCACGCUUAACACAUGCAAGUCGAACGAGAGAAGAGAAGCUUGCUUUUCUGAUCUAGUGGCGGACGGGUGAGUAACACGUGAGCAAUCUGCCUUUCAGAGGGGGAUACCGAUUGGAAACGAUCGUUAAUACCGCAUAACAUAAUUGAACCGCAUGAUUUGAUUAUCAAAGAUUUAUCGCUGAAAGAUGAGCUCGCGUCUGAUUAGCUAGUUGGUAAGGUAACGGCUUACCAAGGCGACGAUCAGUAGCCGGACUGAGAGGUUGAUCGGCCACAUUGGGACUGAGACACGGCCCAGACUCCUACGGGAGGCAGCAGUGGGGAAUAUUGCACAAUGGAGGAAACUCUGAUGCAGCGAUGCCGCGUGAGGGAAGAAGGUUUUAGGAUUGUAAACCUCUGUCUUCAGGGACGAAAAAAGACGGUACCUGAGGAGGAAGCUCCGGCUAACUACGUGCCAGCAGCCGCGGUAAUACGUAGGGAGCGAGCGUUGUCCGGAAUUACUGGGUGUAAAGGGAGCGUAGGCGGGAUCGCAAGUCAGAUGUGAAAACUAUGGGCUUAACCCAUAAACUGCAUUUGAAACUGUGGUUCUUGAGUGAAGUAGAGGUAAGCGGAAUUCCUAGUGUAGCGGUGAAAUGCGUAGAUAUUAGGAGGAACAUCAGUGGCGAAGGCGGCUUACUGGGCUUUAACUGACGCUGAGGCUCGAAAGCGUGGGGAGCAAACAGGAUUAGAUACCCUGGUAGUCCACGCCGUAAACGAUGAUUACUAGGUGUGGGGGGACUGACCCCUUCCGUGCCGCAGCAAACGCAAUAAGUAAUCCACCUGGGGAGUACGACCGCAAGGUUGAAACUCAAAGGAAUUGACGGGGGCCCGCACAAGCGGAGGAACAUGUGGUUUAAUUCGAUGAUACGCGAGGAACCUUACCCGGGCUCAAACGCACGACGGCGGCACGUGAAAGCGUGCUUACCUACGGGACGUUGUGCGAGGUGCUGCAUGGUUGUCGUCAGCUCGUGUCGUGAGAUGUUGGGUUAAGUCCCGCAACGAGCGCAACCCUUACUGUUAGUUGCUACGCAAGAGCACUCUAGCAGGACUGCCGUUGACAAAACGGAGGAAGGUGGGGAUGACGUCAAAUCAUCAUGCCCCUUAUGACCUGGGCCUCACACGUACUACAAUGGCUGUCAACAGAGGGAAGCAAAGCCGCGAGGUGGAGCAAACCCCUAAAAGCAGUCUUAGUUCGGAUUGUAGGCUGCAACCCGCCUACAUGAAGUCGGAAUUGCUAGUAAUCGCAGAUCAGCAUGCUGCGGUGAAUACGUUCCCGGGCCUUGUACACACCGCCCGUCACGCCAUGGGAGUCGGUAACACCCGAAGCCUGUAGUCUAACCGCAAGGAGGACGCAGUCGAAGGUGGGAUUGAUGACUGGGGUG
rnacentral:rRNA from 1 species